rnacentral:ncRNA from 2 species
UAACCUGCGCGCAAUUCAGGUGCCCAACCUCAACACGUUGGGUUAAACGGGAAGACUGGUAAGUUGUUGCAACAGAGCGACAGCAAAUCCAGCGCUGCCCCCGCAACGGUGAUCGGUCAUACCGUCGACAAUCUGCCACUGUGCAUAGCAUGGGAAGGCGUCGAUGGUGAGUAUAAACUCAGACCGUAAGCCCGGAUACCGGCCUGAGUUGCACAUGUACA